ACAGGGGCGCGAAAGCUGAGAUGUACCCUUUGACCUGAUCUAGGUAAUGCUAGCGUAGGGAGUAGA
rnacentral:ncRNA from 1 species